rnacentral:rRNA from 1 species
GAUGAACGCUAGCGGCAGGCUUAACACAUGCAAGUCGAGGGGGAGAGGCUUUCGGGCCUUGAGACCGGCGCACGGGUGCGUAACGCGUAUGCAAUCUGCCUUGUACUGGGGGAUAGCCCAGAGAAAUUUGGAUUAAUACCCCAUAGUAUUUUCGGUUGGCAUCAACUGAUUAUUAAAGUUUUUCGGUACAAGAUGAGCAUGCGUCCCAUUAGCUAGUUGGUAUGGUAACGGCAUACCAAGGCUACGAUGGGUAGGGGUCCUGAGAGGGAGAUCCCCCACACUGGUACUGAGGCACGGACCAGACUCCUACGGGAGGCAGCAGUGAGGAAUAUUGGUCAAUGGUCGCAAGACUGAACCAGCCAUGCCGCGUGCAGGAUGAAGCAUCUAUGGUGUGUAAACUGCUUUUGUACGGGAAGAAACACUCCUACGUGUAGGGGCUUGACGGUACCGUAAGAAUAAGGAUCGGCUAACUCCGUGCCAGCCGCCGCGGUAAGAC